GAUGACGUGCCCCCCGUGUCCAGUGGACGAAGCUACCGCCGAACACCCGGAGAGGAUGGCAAGUCACUGACGGAAUGUUUGCAGGGUUACCAGAUUAGGACGAAGAUAGACAGCAUUAAGCAGAAAGAAAAGUAUGCUGAUGGUUUACCAGCAGCCGCUACGAGAAAAUUUAAUGCAGGUGACUCGGUGUGGAUGCGCACUUUUGGAAGAAGUCGAAGAUGGAUUCCAGGAGCAGUGAACGACCAACAAGGUUCCAGGAUGGU